AACUGCGAAUGGCUCAUUAAAUCAGUUAUGAUCUACGUGACAAAUUCUUUACUACUUGGAUAACCGUGGUAAUUCUAGAGCUAAUACAUGCAAAAAAGCCCUGACUUACGAAGGGGUGCACUUAUUAGAUAAAACCAACGCGGGAUAAAACCUGUUUCUUGGUGAAUCAUAAUAAUUAAGCGGAUCGCAUGGCCUUGUGCCGGCGACGGUCCACUCGAUUUUCUGCCCUAUCAUGGUUGAGAUUGUAAGAUAGAGGCUUACAAUGCCUACAACGGGUAACGGGGAAUUAGGGUUCGAUUCCGGAGAGGGAGCCUGAGAAACGGCUACCACAUCCAAGGAAGGCAGCAGGCGCGCAAAUUACCCAAUCCCGACACGGGGAGGUAGUGACAAUACAUAACAAUGCAGGGCCUUUAAGGUCUUGCAAUUGGAAUGAGUACAAUUUAAAUCCCUUAACGAGGAUCAAUUGGAGGGCAAGUCUGGUGCCAGCAGCCGCGGUAAUUCCAGCUCCAAUAGCGUAUAUUAAAGUUGUUGCAGUUAAAACGUCCGUAGUCAAACUUUAGUCUUAUCGACGUGAUGGCCUGGUCUUCAUUGACCAAGCUCGUUAUGAUCGGAGACUCCAUGUUCAUUGGAUCUCUAGCUUCGGUUAGGGCUUUUUUUGAACAAUUACCAUGAGCAAAUCAGAGUGUUUAAAGCAGGCUUUUAAGCUUGAAUGUGUUAGCAUGGAAUAAUGAAAUAUGACUUUAGUCCUAUUUUCGUUGGUUUAGGUACUUCAGUAAUGAUGAAUAGAAACGGUUAGGGGCAUUUGUAUUUGGUCGCUAGAGGUGAAAUUCUUGGAUUGACCGAAGACAAACUACUGCGAAAGCAUUUGACCCGGGACGUUUUCAUUGAUCAAGGUCUAAAGUUAAGGGAUCGAAGACGAUUAGAUACCGUCGUAGUCUUAACCACAAACUAUGCCGACUAGAGAUUGGGCGUGUUUAUUAUGACUCGCUCAGCAUCUUAGCGAA
rnacentral:rRNA from 1 species